AGGAUGAGUAUGAUGAACUUGCCUGUGAGUAUAUGUUCCUUCUUUUACCCCUUGUUGUUAAUGCAAAGAUGUGUAGUCAGUUAAGCUUAUCGAUGAAAAAAAUCAUUCUGAGGUUUAAGACCCUCUAGUUUUAGCGACUUGCAAUCAAAGCUUUCAUUUUUGGCUCUCUUGACGUAAAGUCUCUUGAUGUAAAGUUUCUGACAUUCUGUGAGGACCAGGCUCAGACUAGCUUGGCACUUAUAACAGCCUGUUAGAAUGCAAAGUUGAUGUUUUAACUUAGAAGUAAAGGAAAAUUUUUUGAUACCUCUGUUUCCUGGGAAAUUGUGGUGGCAACUGUCUGGACUGUAAUGUGAAAGUUCUUUUUAGAAAAAAAAAAUGGUUUCAACAGAUUUAAUUCGGAAAUUCAGUUUAGUUUUUUCAAUAAUUUAGCUUGGUUCGAUUUUUUAUUUUAACAAAUUUAAUUUAUUUAAUUGAAUAUUUUGAGAAAAUAAUUGAUAAAACUGAAUCUAAUAGUUUAGUUUUUUUAAUUAAUUACUUUUAUGGAAAUUAAAUUUAAAAUGAGUCCACAAUAAAUUCAAUAUGAGGCUCAAACUGAAAAAUCAAACUAAAAUAAAUUGAACUAAAUUGAUUUGGCUUGAUUUA
rnacentral:misc_RNA from 1 species